rnacentral:piRNA from 1 species
UAAAGCACAAGACCAAGGUGACUGACUGG